GUGCUUGCUUCGGCAGCACAUAUACUGAAAUUGGAACGAUACAGAGAAGAUUAGCAUGGCCCCUGUGCAAGGAUGACACGCAAAUUCAAGUGAUCCACCUGCCUUGG
ensembl:snRNA U6 U6 spliceosomal RNA